AAAAACACGUAUUUGAUGAUUUUAAAAUCACUUUUUUCUCAUUUCCUUCUCUCUCUCUGGAUCACUCGUUCCUUGCUCAGUUCCAUUCCAAAAAUUCAUCAAUGGCUUCAGCUAUUCCAUUCCCGAGAGUUAGCUGGUCUAGCUGAUCGAUCGUAGGUGAUGGAACUAGGUGGGAAUACAAGGGAAGGGCAGCUACUUAUUUAUCAAGACCCUCCUUCCUCAUAAACCUACUUUGCUUUGAGAUGGCUUCUUGGUUAUCCAGUAGUAUAUGCAUUAGGCAAGGAGCAUAUUUCGGAGAUUAUUCGUAACCUCUCUACCAAGUCUCUUCAUCUUUUCAAAAUAUCUGUUUGUAGGAUAGUUUCAAAUUUAGCAAUUCUUAGGAUAGUGUCAAGAGAUAACAACAAAGUUCGCAUUCUUCAGGUUUUGAUUCGACUGACUUGAGAAAAAAAUAAUGGAGAUGAAGAUAUUCCCGAAGUACAAGAUACUACUAUACAAAGCACUUACGAAACUUUGAAUGAUAGUGUUGAGUUUAGCAUUUUAAGAGAUCAAAUUCGUGAAAUGGCUAAUAUCUGUGAUGAAAUAGCUUAUCAUAUAAGGAGAGCAAAUCGACGAUGAACAUAAUGAGUGAAGUUUAUUAAUAAUUAAAACUUUUUAAAUAUUUUUUUUCAAGAUUGGACAAUUAUUAGUUCAUAUUUUAUUAUGAUUUUGUCACUUUUGUGUUAUAGAUAAUGAGUUUCGUGAUUUCAAA